UCUUUCCAUCUCUACAACGAAAUUACAGGAAGAAAUGUGAACCAUUCAUCAUCAGCCAUCAUCUUCCAAUAUCUCUGUGAACCAUUCAUCAUCAGCCAUCAUCUUCCAAUAUCUCUUCUGGUUUCCUUCUUUCUCCAGCCUACACCACCACUUUCAAUUGGGUUCAGCAAUAGUAGUUUCGAUCUCCAUGACAUUAUCACUUUUAGAUUGACUUUCAGAUUGUUAGGAAUCCUCGAGAGAGUACAAGAAACACAACCAAACUGAAGAUCAAAACUCGAACACGAAUAAAUCCGGAUGAAUGAAGAAGGCUUGAAUUAUGUAUGGAAUACGCUUUCUCUAAGUUUAUGUUUUAAGACCAAAACUUCUCGUAAGUUUAUAGCAAGCCAUUUAAACUUUUAAUCUCACUUUUUAUUCGAACAAAUUUCCAGCCAGCACACCACGCACACGCACACACACACACAACUGAACCUAUCAGCACGACAGUUAAAUGAUGGCUGAUCUGUGAUUGAUGCUUGCAGACAUUAUUGACAUUGAGGAAUCCCGUCCACCGCGAGGGCCUAGAA
rnacentral:lncRNA from 1 species